rnacentral:lncRNA from 1 species
GGCACCAUGUCUGCUGGCCUGGUGGCCACAGUAGAAUCUCUUUUCUCUUUCUUCUUUAUUCCCUAAAGUCUUAAAGAUAACUAUUUUCACAAGCAAUAUAUGCAAAUAUAUUCUCACUGGAAAGAAUUUGAAAAAUAGAGAAAUAUGGCUGGGUGCAGUGGCUCAUGCCUGUAAUGCCAGCACCUUGGGAGGCUGAGCUAGGAGGAUUGCUUGAGCUCGGGAGUUUGAGAUCAGCCUGGGCAACAUGGGGAGACCCCAUCUCAACAAAAAAUACAAAAAUUAGCUGGGUGUGGUGGUGUGCACCUGUGGUCCCAGCUACUUGGGAGACUGAGGUGGGAGAAUUGCUUGGGACCAGGAAGUCAAGGUUGCAGUGAGCUGUGAUCACACCACUGCACUCCGGCCUGGGUGACAGGUUUAAACCAGUUUUAAUUGGAUUUCCCUCACUUGCAACAAGGAAGACCUGAAUAAUAUUGCUUCUGUCUGUAUGUCCAAAUACUUUCAUUUUUCAAGAAGCAAUGUUAUACCAACGUCAGAACAAAGGAACACUUUAUGCUGAUCCUUGCAGUUUCCAUUAUUAGAGACCCAAAGGAAUCAGACCAGGAGAUCGUUUUGCUUUAAACUAGUAGAAUCUGACCUAAGGCAAAUAUCACUUGAGAAAAAGGAGAAAACACAUUUCUUCCUUCAACAGCGUCAUCCCCAUUCUUGGCAGAGAGAGAUGUGAAUGACCAACAGCCAUGCCAUUGCAUAGUUUCAUCUUUCAUGUAACUUUUUCAUAUUUGAAGCCAAACAUUUGGAGCCAAAGCCUGAUAACCCAGCGAGUCAAGUGCUCAUGUCACUAUUGCUUGUGUCUCCAUGGGACAGGCUUGAUUGAAAAUUGCUAAGACAAUAUUUUUAAAAUGUUCUCACCACAAAAAAUAACUAUGUGAGGUAAUGGAUAUGUUAGCUUGAUUUAGCCAUUCCACGAUGUAUACAUAUAUCGAAACACCAUGUUAUAGACCAUAAACAUAUGCAAUUUUUAUUUGUCAACUUAAAUCCAAAUAAACUAGGAAGUGUA